UCCGCAGUAGGCUCAGUGGUAGACCUAUCGGCUGUUAACCGAUCGGUCGUAGGUUCGAAUCCUACCUGCGGAGCCA
rnacentral:tRNA from 1 species